UACGUAGGGACCGAGCGUUGUCCGGAAUCAUUGGGCGUAAAGAGCUCGUAGGCGGCUUGUCACGCGGGUGUGAAAGCCCGGGGCUUAACCCCGGGUCUGCAUUCGAUACGGGCAGGCUAGAGUGCGGAAGGGGCAACUGGAAUUCUCGGUGUAGCGGUGAAAUGCGUAGAUAUCGAGAGGAACACCUGCGGCGAAGGCGGGUUGCUGGGCCGACACUGACGCUGAUGCGCGAAAGCCAGGGGAGCGAACGGG
rnacentral:rRNA from 1 species